rnacentral:sRNA from 1 species
AUAUCUCUCUGUACGGGAAGGAUGAGAAGCUUCGACUAAGGUUCGAUUCGAGCGUCAGCGAGAAAGCGUUGCCGCAGGCAACGACCCGAAGGGCGAAGCGCGCAGCGCUGAGUCAUCCCGAAGCGCGC